rnacentral:rRNA from 1 species
GACAGAGGGUGCAAACGUUGUUCGGAUUUACUGGGCGUAAAGCGUGUGUAGGCGGCUUCGCAAGUUGGAUGUGAAAUCCCACGGCUCAACCGUGGACGUGCAUCCAAAACUGCGUCGCUAGAGUCUCGGAGAGGAAGGUGGAAUGCUUGGUGUAGAGGUGAAAUUCGUAGAUAUCAAGCAGAACACCUGCGGCGAAGGCGGCCUUCUGGACGAUGACUGACGCUGAGGUGCGAAAGCGUGGGGAGCAAACAGG